AACGAACGCUGGCGGCAUGCCUAACACAUGCAAGUCGAACGAAGUCUUCGGACUUAGUGGCGGACGGGUGAGUAACACGUGGGAACGUGCCUUUAGGUUCGGAAUAACUCAGGGAAACUUGUGCUAAUACCGAAUGUGCCCUUCGGGGGAAAGAUUUAUCGCCUUUAGAGCGGCCCGCGUCUGAUUAGCUAGUUGGUGAGGUAAAGGCUCACCAAGGCGACGAUCAGUAGCUGGUCUGAGAGGAUGAUCAGCCACAUUGGGACUGAGACACGGCCCAAACUCCUACGGGAGGCAGCAGUGGGGAAUCUUGCGCAAUGGGCGAAAGCCUGACGCAGCCAUGCCGCGUGAAUGAUGAAGGUCUUAGGAUUGUAAAAUUCUUUCACCGGGGACGAUAAUGACGGUACCCGGAGAAGAAGCCCCGGCUAACUUCGUGCCAGCCGCCGCAGUAACAC
rnacentral:rRNA from 1 species